rnacentral:rRNA from 1 species
GACGAACGCUGGCGGCGUGCUUAACACAUGCAAGUCGAACGGAAAGGCCUGCUUUCCCUUAUGGAUUGCGGGUACUCGAGUGGCGAACGGGUGAGUAACACGUGAGUGAUCUGCCCCCAACUUGGGUAUAAGCCUGGGAAACUGGGUCUAAUUCCCGAUAGGACUGCAGGGUGGUGCCUGUGGUGGAAAACGAUUUUCUAGUGGUUGGGGAUGAGCUCGCGGCCUAUCAGCUUGUUGGUGGGGUAAUGGCCUACCAAGGCGGCGACGGGUAGCCGGCCUGAGAGGGUGGACGGCCACAUUGGGACUGAGAUACGGCCCAGACUCCUACGGGAGGCAGCAGUGGGGAAUAUUGCACAAGGGGCGGAAGCCUGAUGCAGCGACGCCGCGUGGGGGAUGACGGCCUUCGGGUUGUAAACUCCUUUCGACCGCGAGGAAGCCACCUGGUUGGAAGGGUGGUGACGGUAGUGGUAGAAGAAGCACCGGCUAACUACGUG